rnacentral:misc_RNA from 1 species
AUAUUUGGGUAGAGUACACUACUACAAUAGUGGACUUCGCCCAAAUAUUCUUAAUUUUUUUAAGGAGCAAGAUACUUUAUAUUUAAAACCCACUCUUUGAACGUAUAAAUUUAUGUAUUAAUGAUAAAUUAAUUAAAGA